rnacentral:rRNA from 1 species
AACGAACGCUGGCGGCAGGCCUAACACAUGCAAGUCGAACGCAUCCUUUCGGGGGUGAGUGGCAGACGGGUGAGUAACACGUGGGAACGUGCCUUUCGGUUCGGGACAACUCCGGGAAACUGGAGCUAAUACCGGAUACGUGCGAGAGCAGAAAGAUUUAUCGCCGGAAGAUCGGCCCGCGUCUGAUUAGCUAGUUGGUGGGGUAAUGGCUCACCAAGGCGACGAUCAGUAGCUGGUCUGAGAGGAUGAUCAGCCACACUGGGACUGAGACACGGCCCAGACUCCUACGGGAGGCAGCAGUGGGGAAUAUUGGACAAUGGGCGCAAGCCUGAUCCAGCCAUGCCGCGUGAGUGAUGAAGGCCCUAGGGUUGUAAAGCUCUUUCGGCGGGGACGAUAAUGACGGUACCCGCAGAAGAAGCCCCGGCUAACUUCGUGCCAGCCGCCGCGGUAAUAC